ACGGCAUCGGCCUUUGGCUAAGAUCAAGUGUAGUAUCUGUUCUUAUCAGUUUAAUAUCUGAUACGUCCCCAUCCGAGGACAAUAUAUUAAAUGGAUUUUGGAGCAGGGAGAUGGAAUAGGAGCUUGCUCCGUCCACUCCACGCAUCGACCUGGUAUUGCAGUACCUCCAGGAACGGUGCACCUCUC
rnacentral:snRNA from 1 species